CCUACGGGUGGCAGCAGUGAGGAAUAUUGGUCAAUGGGCGCUAGACUGAACCAGCCAAGUAGCGUGAAGGAUGACUGCCCUAUGGGUUGUAAACUUCUUUUAUCUGGGAAUAAAGUGUAGUAUGCAUACUGCUUUGCAUGUACCUUAUGAAUAAGGAUCGGCUAACUCCGUGCCAGCAGCCGCGGUAAUACGGAGGAUCCGAGCGUUAUCCGGAUUUAUUGGGUUUAAAGGGAGCGUAGGCGGGUUGUUAAGUCAGUUGUGAAAGUUUGCGGCUCAACCGUAAAAUUGCAGUUGAAACUGGCAGCGUUGAGUACAGUAGAGGUAGGCGGAAUUCGUGGUGUAGCGGCGAAAUGCUUAGAUAUCACGAAGAACUCCGAUUGCGAAGGCAGCCUGCUGGACUGUAACUGACGCUGAGGCUCGAAAGUGUGGGUAUCGAACAGGAUUAGAUACCCGAGUAGUC
rnacentral:rRNA from 1 species